UACAGAGGGUGCGAGCGUUGUUCGGAAUUAUUGGGCGUAAAGGGCGCGUAGGCGGUGCGGUAAGUCACCUGUGAAAUCUCCUGGCUCAACUGGGAGCUUGCAGGCGAAACUGCCGUGCUGGAGUGUGGGAGAGGUGCGUGGAAUUCCUGGUGUAGCGGUGAAAUGCGCAGAUAUCGGGAGGAACACCCGUGGCGAAGGCGGCGACUCUGGGACGGUACUGACGCUGAGACGCGAAAGCGUGGGGGAGCAAACAGG
rnacentral:rRNA from 1 species